GACGAACGCUGGCGGCGUGCUUAACACAUGCAAGUCGAACGGAAAGGCCCUGCUUUUGUGGGGUGCUCGAGUGGCGAACGGGUGAGUAACACGUGAGUAUCCUGCCCUUGACUUUGGGAUAACUUCAGGAAACUGGGGCUCAUAUCGGAUAGGAGCUCCUGCUGCAUGGUGGGGGUUGGAAAGUUUCGGCGGUUGGGGAUGGACUCGCGGCUUAUCAGCUUGUUGGUGGGGUAGUGGCUUACCAAGGCUUUGACGGGUAGCCGGCCUGAGAGGGUGACCGGCCACAUUGGGACUGAGAUACGGCCCAGACUCCUACGGGAGGCAGCAGUGGGGAAUAUUGCACAAUGGGCGGAAGCCUGAUGCAGCAACGCCGCGUGCGGGAUGACGGCCUUCGGGUUGUAAACCGCUUUCGCCUGUGACGAAGCGUGAGUGACGGUAAUGGGUAAAGAAGCACCGGCUAACUACGUG
rnacentral:rRNA from 1 species